AAGUCGUAACAAGGUAACCGUAGGUGAACCUGCGGUUGGAUCAUUAAUAAAAGAAAGGCUUUAGAGCCCUCUUAACACUAGCGUCUGCCUAAAAAACAGGCCUAGUACACCCCUUGUGAACCGUUUAUUGUCUCUGGUGGGAUUACUCCCUUGGAGUGCCCACCGGUUAAUUUGUUAACCCCUGUUUUUAACAACGUCUUAUCAAAUUUAUAAUUUGAAACAACUUUUGACAACGGAUCUCUUGGCUCUC
rnacentral:misc_RNA from 1 species